rnacentral:rRNA from 1 species
UACGUAGGGGGCAAGCGUUGUCCGGAAUCAUUGGGCGUAAAGAGCGCGUAGGCGGCCCUGUAAGUCCGCUGUGAAAGUCCAGGGCUCAACCCUGGGAUGCCGGUGGAUACUGUCGAGCUCGAGUCCGGAAGAGGCGAGUGGAAUUCCUGGUGUAGCGGUGAAAUGCGCAGAUAUCAGGAGGAACACCAAUGGCGAAGGCAGCUCGCUGGGACGUGACUGACGCUGAGACGCGAAAGCGUGGGGAGCAAACAGG